UCCGGCUUAGCUCAGUUGGUAGAGCACCUGACUGUUAAUUAGGUUGUCGUUGGUUCGAGCCCGACAGCCGGAG
rfam:Lactobacillus backii strain TMW 1.1989, complete genome.